rnacentral:rRNA from 1 species
AUAAGAGGUCCCGCCUGCCCAGUGACUUUAAGUUUAACGGCCGCGGUAUUUUGACCGUGCAAAGGUAGCGCAAUCACUUGUCCUUUAAAUGAAGACCUGUAUGAAUGGCACCACGAGGGCUCAACUGUCUCCUUUCUCCUGUCAAUGAAAUUGAUCUCCCCGUGCAGAAGCGGGGAUAAAACCAUAAGACGAGAAGACCCUAUGGAGCUUUAGGCACCAGAACAGACUAUGUUAAGCACCCUAAACACAAAAGACAAAACUAACUAGACCCUAUUUCAAUGCCUUUGGUUGGGGCGACCGCGGGGAAAUAAAAAACCCCCAUGUGGACCAAGAGCACAUCACUCUUACAACCCAGGGCUACAACCCUAAGUAACAGAACUUUCUGACCAGAAUGAUCCGGUAAAACCGAUCAACGAACCGAGUUACCCUAGGGAUAACAGCGCAAUCCCCUUCUAGAGCCCAUAUCGACAAGGGGGUUUACGACCUCGAUGUUGGAUCAGGACAUCCUACUGGUGCAGCCGCUAUUAAGGGUUCGUUUGUUCAACGAUU